GCGCAGAUAAAGCGCUUAUACGUAGCUACGAAAUGAUGAUUCGAUUCGUGAAUCGUGUGUAGUUUGUUAAAAAAAUGCGAGUUUACUUUUCAACAAGAAGCUUAUAUUUUGUAAUAUAAAAUACAUCUUUAUAUAUAUUAAUAACAAUUAAUACGUAAACAUUGAAAAUAAGUUUGCUCAUAGUUUUUCAUAAUAAUUUUAAAAGCAAGGAAGACAGAAAAAAAAGUACAUUGGACGAAUUUUGAUCACUCGUAAGUCGUAAUAGUUUCAAAUAAAAGUGGGCGUACAAAAUAAAACUGACGUAAUCCAAUCCAAGGAGGUCGCAGUCACCGUCCAAUGUUCAGUGCCGGUGCGCCAUGCCAUGCGGCAACAAAUGAUCUACGCACGGAUGUUUUAACGAUACAUAAUCAGUAUGCAAAUAUACUUAAAUUAUAAAAUUUA